rnacentral:tRNA from 1 species
GCCGCGGUAGCCCAACAGGUAGAGGCACCAGGUCGAGGGCCUGGCCGGUGCGGGUUCGACUCCCGCCCGCGGCA